GGAAGCCGCCGCUAUCCUGGGACAGAGACCACGCCGAGAAGCUGUCAGGAGAUGGAGAUUGGGGACCUCUCACCACAACGCAGCGCCCUAGGGCGGCGACCCCAACUCACCGUCAGCAGAUUGUGCGGCCAAUUCAUGAAGCCGUGGAGACCCUGGGCUUUCUGGAUCAACUCCGGACCCUGGGAUACCGGAAGCAAGUGCCAAGUUAGGCGAUAGCCCGCAGCUCUCGCCAGACCAGGCGGAGCCCAAGCACUGUGAGCCUCAGGAGGCUGGCUUUUUCCGAGGCGCGACCCGGCCUGGCUGCCCCCUCGCCGCCGCCCCCGGAUCGAGUCCACCCACCGGCCUCAGCCCCAGAUGGCAUGAACACAGGAGUGGCAACAGUUCCAUGCGGCAGCCGCAGCUCGCCCGCCCGAGCUCUGGAACGACUGCACUCAGACACCAGCCGCAUGAUUCGUGGAGCGGACUCAAGCGAAGCAGGACUGCCUGCCGCCGCCAUUUUCCGUCCCGGAACCACGUGGGCUGAGGCCACAGUGGACAGCGCCAUGUUGCCUCGCAUCACGUGACCGGGGAGCUACAGGGUGCUAUGGCAACCGACGCCUAAAACCACCCCUCUCCGGGGUGUAUUGCUUCCUGAUGGCAAGUGAAGAUUACUUCUAAACCGAUGACCUGAGUUAAAUCUCUGGGACCCACAAGAAUGGGAACUGAUUCCUGCAAAUUCGCGUGUGCGGACACACAAUAAAUGCAAUUCUAAAACA